GUGCUCGCUUCAGCAGCACAUAUACUAAAAUUGGAACGAUACAGAGAAGAUUAGCAUGGCCCCUGUGCAAGGAUGAUAUGCAAAAUUGUGACGCAUUCCAUAUUUUU
rnacentral:snRNA from 1 species